rnacentral:rRNA from 1 species
GAUGAACGCUGGCGGCGUGCCUAAUACAUGCAAGUCGAGCGAACAGACGAGGAGCUUGCUCCUCUGACGUUAGCGGCGGACGGGUGAGUAACACGUGGAUAACCUACCUAUAAGACUGGGAUAACUUCGGGAAACCGGAGCUAAUACCGGAUAAUAUAUUGAACCGCAUGGUUCAAUAGUGAAAGACGGUUUUGCUGUCACUUAUAGAUGGAUCCGCGCCGCAUUAGCUAGUUGGUAAGGUAACGGCUUACCAAGGCAACGAGGCGUAGCCGACCUGAGAGGGUGAUAGGCCACACGGGAACUGAGACACGGUCCAGACUCCUACGGGAGGCAGCAGUAGGGAAUCUUCCGCAAUGGGCGAAAGCCUGACGGAGCAACGCCGCGUGAGUGAUGAAGGUCUUCGGAUCGUAAAACUCUGUUAUUAGGGAAGAACAAAUGUGUAAGUAACUAUGCACGUCUUGACGGUACCUAAUCAGAAAGCCACGGCUAACUACGUG